rnacentral:tRNA from 1 species
GGCGCUGUAGCUCAGUUGGUUUAGAGCGAUGCUCUCAUGAGGCAUAGGUCGGGAGUUCGAAUCUCCCUAGCGCCA